rnacentral:rRNA from 1 species
UACGUAGGGGGGCAAGCGUUGUCCGGAUUUAUUGGGCGUAAAGGGCGCGUAGGCGGUGCGGUAAGUCACCUGUGAAAUCUCCUGGCUCAACUGGGAGCUUGCAGGCGAAACUGCCGUGCUGGAGUGUGGGAGAGGUGCGUGGAAUUCCCGGUGUAGCGGUGAAAUGCGUAGAUAUCAGGAGGAACACCGGUGGCGAAGGCGGCUUUCUGGACAGAUACCGACGCUGAGGCACGAAAGCUAGGGGAGCAAACAGG